CCAGGGCACUUGACAGCUGAGUGGAGGAGAAAGCAUGCGCAGUGGGAAGUUCUCUGCCCACGACGGGAAGUUCUCUGGGCUAGUGACCUCUUAGGCUCCUUCCUGGCCUGGCCUGGCCUCUCUGAGGCCAUCUGAGCACCCACAGUGCCUGCACAGAGCCCGGCAACCAGCAGGCCUAUGAUAAAUGCUCCCAAGCCCAUGAAUGAAUGGGACAAACCUUAGCUUCUCCACUGGACCGUUUCAUCUCUGAGUUUGUCCUAAUGUUUACCUAGGAGGACCCAGACCAUCAACGGGCAACCGGCCCAGGAGAAAAUGGUUCGAAAUUAACAAACUUUCCCCAAGCUCUCUUCCCCCCUCCCCCUCCCACCUCCGUUCUUCCAGCACCGCCCCCCUGCCCCCCACCACGCACCGCUCCACACACAAAGAAACAAAAGCAAAGGCUGCUGGGGCCACAAAGGAUCUCAGAGCAUCCAGUCCAGCCCCCUGAGAGGGGUUGCAUGGGAAGUCCGCCAUCUGGGAACUAUUUCCAAGUCCAGAGAAGAGCCAAGUCCCAACACCUGGCCUGAGAUGAACCCAAAAGGGAAGACGAGGAGGGGACUUGAACGGACAGCACGAAGUCACCAGAGUCUACCAUGAACCCACACUAGGCCAGUCGGUGGGGAAAACUGGAGACCCACGUGGCACCAUUUUCAUGGACCUUGCCCUCCGUGCAGGAGACAGUCUCCUGGCUGGUGGCCUGGCAGGAAGACGCCAGCAUGGGCCACAAGGUGACCUCUGGAGCGACACAGAGGUCACACGGUCUGUGAAGAACCUGUUACCAGCAGGGAAGAUCCGCAGACCUAUCAAUGCCUUUGCUGUAGCUUCUGCCUGAGUGCAGCCCCCUGGAAUAAACCACCCCCCACCCCGGUCUUAGGUUUCUGUCUGCGAAAUGGGAAGGUUGGAAGGACUAGCAAAAAAAUAAAAUAAAAUAAAACCCCUACUCCCUACCUCCAUUUUGCAGAAAUAGAGCCCCGGAAGGUUAGGGGAUUUGCCUGAGGGUGCAGAUUAUUUAGCAGCUGACCGGGAAAGAAUAAUAUUAAUAAAGGGAACUUCCCGGACUCCAGCAGGGGCACUUUACCCACACAUUGGCCUUCUCUAAGUCAGGCUUCAUUUCCUCACCCCUCCGGCUGGUUGCAGGCCACCUGCC